rnacentral:lncRNA from 1 species
AGCGAAAGCUGCUGCGGUAGAGGAAGAUGCAGCAGUUGCGACAGCUACUGGCCGGAGAAGUGCAGGAGGCGGCUGCUGCGAUAGAGGAAGAUGCAGCAGUUGCGACUGCUAUUGGCCGGAGAAGUGCAGGAGGCGGCUGAUGUCUUCUCUGGUGCUGCCCAACGUGGGGCUGAAGGACCACGUUGUCCUUCCGGCGAAGAAGAAGGAAGAGGAAGGUGCAGCAGUUGCGACUGUUACUGGCCGGGAAGCGAGGAAGACACCGUUGUUCGCCGUUCACUGCUAUUGAGGAGAGAAUGUUUUCCUCCUUGCGUGACGGCGACGGAGAGUGUCUGCUGUAGGCAGCAAAUAGGAGAGGGAGCAAGGCCGGCGAAGAAAAGCAAGACCGGUUAGCACUGGCUCUGAAUCCGUGUCUUGGUGCUUCUUCAAUGACUCCGCUUGAGGCAGCGUGCUACUGUGGCCGCUUGGCUAACACAUGGCGAUGCUGCUGUCGCCAAGAGGAGCUGCUCUGAUACCAUGUUAAAAUAAAGAGAUAAAUGAGUUAUUGAAGAAGAAGUUGAAUGUUAUUGACAUAUCC